CAGCGGACAAUACUUAAACGAUCAAACUUUUAUUCGCCGUGUAAAGGCAGAAGUAUAGAUGAAGCCGGGUGAAAAGGGAUGCUUAUGGAGGGACAUGGACAGGCAGGCAGACCUCCGGGGAUCAGCGCUCCGGAGAGUGGGAGGACAAGAUGAGACGAUGGUGUGCAAAACGUGCAUCUAAACAUGUGUGCAUACAGUCCAUGUUUAUCUGUGAUCAUCAGACCACCCCGGCCACAGUGCAUCAUCCCUAUGUGGGGAAAGUCUUGUUAAUAUGGCGGCGAUGAGGUAAACAGAUAGGAAGUGAUGGAGUGGCAGACCCACGGGGGAUAACCACAUGAGGGGUGACAGACCACUGACAUCAGCUCUUGUUCUCUUGCCUUGCUCGCUUGCUCUCUCCAUCUCUCUCUUCUCCACACACACUCAUUUCCAGGAAGGGGUCAUUAAUGUGAGGGAAAAAAACUGAAUCCAGUCAUGGCUUUAAAAUGGAGUAUCUUCUCAUAGAGAUGCAAUCAUUCCUAACGGGUCUGAGUCAGGCUGCAGUUCUCACAAGAGAACAGCACAAAGAAGCUUUUAAUUCCUCCAUUUAGAGACAAAAUACAUCAUUUAUCAUUAAAGCACUGUUUGGAGGGGAAAAGAGUACUUUUUAGAUUUUAUUUGAGAGUAGCUCCCUAAAGUGGUUAGCAGGGUUCAACUUAACCUGACCAAUAAACCGAGAAAAUGAUCCGCUUUUCGUUCUCUUUAACGCACCAGCCCUCUUAUAAAACUACAGCAGCGGUUCCAACAUCCAUACAGUAGUUAAAUGUUCACAUUUAACAGUCGUAAUUGACAUUUUCCCUCGCUCCCUUCAGCAAUGAUAUAUCAAAGAGUGCAUCAGCCGCCGGAGGAGGAGAGAAAACAUUAGGAGGAUUAAUAAAGGGGGGGAGGAAAAUAGAUUGAGCGUUCACCAAGAUCAGUAAAAUAGGAUCUGUCAAGCAACCCUGAAACAUCCAUCCUGUGGAAAAAAAAGACAGAGGUACAUUUUCAUGGAUGGAAGGAAGGAAAAACAGGACAGCCCGUGCGGCUGAUCAAUUUCCCUAGAUUAGCUUUCAGCGGCUGUGCCCGCUUCCAUUUGUAAAGAUAAUAUUAUGUAAUAACCCUUUUGAGCGACUAUUUAAAUUAUCAUACUGCCUACAGUGCAAGGCGCUAAUGGAAAUAUUUAACAUAAAUUCACUUAAAAAAAUGAUGCCUUUAACAACAGUUGUAAGAAUUAUUCUGAAAUUAAAGGAGUGUGCAUAAAUGAUUCUCCCUGGCCUUGACUCGCUGUUCUCAAUUACAUUCUGCUCAACUGGAACAAUGGAACGAUGCUAGCACGGCGCUUUAUCGCGCAUAUAUAUGCGCUGUUACGA
rnacentral:lncRNA from 1 species